GUCCCAUACAACAGAUUGUUGUCUCCACGACCUCCUCUGACAAGUUUGGAAGUUUUUCCCAGAAAGCUGUGCGAAUGUGCAUCACAAGACAUUGAGGAACAGAAGGAGUAGGAGAUGAUAGGCAAGGCAUCAGUGACUCAUCCUAGUUGGAGCUAGAUGAUGACCCUUCCUAUUGUGAUAAUGUAAACAGCAGACUGACAACUGGCAGAACUGUGGGAGUUAGACCUUAAAAGCCCUAGGACCAUGCCUCAGGACUACCUGGCAUGAUGACUCCUUGUUGUCCCCAGUCCACCUGGCUGUGCUGCUGCUCCAGUUUCAACUGUUCUGCCUGCGGCUAUGGAACCCUGACCUGUUCACUGUGAUUACUAUUAUUUGACCAUGCUGGUCAUUUAUGAACAUUUGGACAUCUUGGCCAUGUUCUGUAAUAAUCCCCACCCUGCACAGCCAGAAGAGGACUGGUCACCCCUCAUAGCCUGGUUCCUCUCUAGGUUUCUUCCUAGGUUUUGGCCUUUCUAGGGAGUUUUCCCUAGCCACAGUGCUUCUACACCUGCAUUGCUUGCUGAUUUGGGGUUUUAGGCUGGGUUUCUGUACAGCACUUUGAUAUAUCAGCUGAUGUAAGAAGGGCUAUAUAAAUACAUUUGAUUUGUUGUGUAGCCCUUACAGUGAAAUGCUUACUUACAAACCCUUAACCAACAAUGCAGUUUUAAGAAAAAUAAGUGUUAAGUCAUUUUUUAAAUAAGAUAACAAAUAAUUAAAGAGCAGCAGUAAAAUAACAGCAGCGAGGCUAUAUACAGGGGGUACCGGUACUGAGUCAGUGUGUGGUGGCACAGGUUAGUCGAGGUAAUUGAGGUAAUAUGUACAUGUAGGUAGAGUUAAAGUGACUAUGCAUAGAUAAUAAACAGAGAGUAGCAGCAGCGUAAAAGAGGGGGUGGGGGGCAAUGCAAAUAGUCUGGGUAGCCAUUUGAUUAGCUGUUCUGGAGUCUUAUGGCUUGGGAGUAGAAGCUGUUAAAACCUCUACAGGAUUGGUGUCCCCCCUGUGGCACGGUUGAGCUAACGUGUGCUAAUGUGAUUAGCAUGAGGUUGUAAGUAACAAGAACAUUUCCCAGCACAUAGACAUUUCUGAUAUGGGCAGAAAGCUUAAAUUCUUGUUAAUCUAACUGCACUGUCCAGUUUACAGUAGCUAUUACAGUGAAAUAAUACCAUGCUAUUGUUUGAGGAGAGUGCACAGUUAUGAACUUUAACAUGUAUUAAUAAACCAAUUAGGCACAUUUGGGCAGACUUGAUACAACAUUUGAACAGAAAUGCAAUGGUUCAUAGGAUCAGUCUUAAACUUUGCACAUACACUGCUGCCAUCUAGUGGCCAAAUUCUAAAUUGUGCCUAAACUGUGGCCUUUCUAUUGCAUUUCAAAGACUAUGAAGAAAAUAAAAAACACAUGUUUUUUUCUUUGUAUUAUCUUUUACCAGAUCUAAUGUGUUAUAUUUUCCUACAUUAAUUUCACAUUUCCACAAACUUCAAAGCGUUUCCUUUCAAAUGGUAUCAAGAAUAUGCAUAUCCCUGCUUCAGGUCCUGAGCUACAGGCAGUUAGAUUUGGUUAUGUCUUUUAGGUGAAAAUUGAAAAAAAGGGUCAGAUCCUUAAUAAGGAGCCUUUUGGACCUAGACUCCGGCACCGCUUGCCGUGCGGUAGCAGAGAGAACAGUUUAUGACUUGGGUGGCUGGAGUCUUUGAAACAUUUUAGGGCCUUCCUCUGACACCGCCUGGUAUAGAGUUCCUGGAUGGCAGGAAGCUUGGCCCCAGUGAUGUACUGGGCCGUACACACUACCCUCUGUAUUGCUUUACGGUCAGAGGCCGAGCAAUUACCUUACCAGGCAGUGAUGCAACCAGUCAAGAUGCUCUCGAUGGUGCAGUUGUAGAACUUUUUGAGGAUCUGAGGACCCAUGCCAAAUCUUUUCAGUCUCCUGAGGGGGAAUAGGCUUUGUCGUGCCCUCUUCACGACUGUCUUGGUGUGUUUGGACCAUGAUAGUUUGUUGGUGAUGUGGACACCAAGGAACAUGAUGCUCUCAACGUGCUCCACGACAGCCCCGUUGAUGAGAAUGGGGGCGUGCUCAGUCCUCCUUUUCCUGUAGUCCACAAUCAUCUCCUAUGUCUGUAUCAUGUUGAGGGAGAGGUUGUUAUCCUGGCACCAUAUGGCCAGGUCUCUGACCUCCUCCAUAUAGACUGUCUCAUCAUUGUCAGUGAUCAGGC
rnacentral:lncRNA from 1 species